GACGAACGCUGGCGGCGUGCCUAAUACAUGCAAGUAGAACGCACAGUUUAUACCGUAGCUUGCUACACCAUAAACUGUGAGUUGCGAACGGGUGAGUAACGCGUAGGUAACCUGCCUGGUAGCGGGGGAUAACUAUUGGAAACGAUAGCUAAUACCGCAUAAUAUUAAUUAUUGCAUGAUAAUUGAUUGAAAGAUGCAAUUGCAUCACUACCAGAUGGACCUGCGUUGUAUUAGCUAGUAGGUGAGGUAACGGCUCACCUAGGCGACGAUACAUAGCCGACCUGGGAGGGUGAUCGGCCAAACUGGGACUGAGACACGGCCCAGACUCCUACGGGAGGCAGCAGUAGGGAAUCUUCGGCAAUGGACGAAAGUCUGACCGAGCAACGCCGCGUGAGUGAAGAAGGUUUUCGGAUCGGAAAGCUCUGUUGUAAGAGAAGAACGGGUGUGAGAGUGGAAAGUUCACACUGUGACGGUAUCUGACCAGAAAGGGACGGCUAACUACGUG
rnacentral:rRNA from 1 species